ensembl:lncRNA novel transcript, antisense to PCDHA5, PCDHA4, PCDHA3, PCDHA2 and PCDHA1
UCACAAACAAAAUGCCAUUCUGCAGAUUUACCUCCAGAAGGUCCCCGUGUCUUUUGGACGCCACCCGGAACAGGCGCGGCACCAGCUCCGCCAGCUCCAGCCCCAGGUCCUGCGCGAUGCGGCCCACGAAGGUGCCAUGCUUGGCCUCCUCAGAGACGGAGUAGUGGAGCUGGCCGCUCCCCACCUCCGAGGCUGCGAGGAGCAGAAGAGAAAGCAGCAGGCACUGGGCUCCAGGAUCUUCUCGCCAGGAGAACAACAUUAGAGGAUGAAGCAAAGCAGUAUCUGAAUACGUAAUGCACGCUGUUAUUUCUUUUGUGGAGAAAGACCUUGUGGUGGACAGCGACAUCAUGUGGCUAAACGUCCAACAUUGACCACUGUUGACACAUAGAAGGAAUUAUACCUAGAAUCCAGAUGCUAGCUUCAGGAAACAUGGCUUGCUUGAGACAAUUUCUGCAAUCAUAUAAGUUCCAUUCAAGACAAAACUGCCAUUAAUAGGAUAUCUACAUUCAAUGGUAUGAUUUAUUUCAACGUUAGUGAACACCUUGAAGACAUUUUUUAAAGUGAUAUUUGAAAAGAUGAUUAGACAAGUUAAAUAUGAAAAAUAUUUAAAGCCAAAACUCGAAAGUUGGACUUACAUUACCAGAAAGAUCCAAAUUUGCUUCUGGUUGUUCAUUUCUUUCUGACGUGUUAAGACUUGGAGAUAGGCCUGGGCUGAAGGCCAUGAGGUCG